UGGUUAAGGAAGAAGGAGAAAGAAGUAUAAACUUUCUUAUAUAAUAAUUCAAAAUAUAAUUUGGGGUCCAAAUUGUUCAUGAAAUACAAUAUCAAAAUUGUUGUCUUCUACUUUACAUUCAGUUUUCCUAGAUGUGAUAGUUGGUGAAAAAAAGGGAGCAUCUAUGCUUCUAAAAACUUCAACUUUAGGUGCUUCAAAGUUUGGUCAGGAGGUAAAUUAAGUCUAGCAAAUGAUUGUUCCAGUUGGGAUAUGAACUUCUCCUAUCGAUUUGUCAAUCUCUGUGUUACUAAGCAAGGUUCCACCCAAUGGUAGUCCGCGACUAUUCAAAGUCUCGUUCUAGUUUUCAAGAUGGGACAAAAAUUUCGGCUUUUAGUUUUACAUUAUUGAAGCAUAAAACAUUUUGUAUCAUCUUAUCAUUUUGUAUGUUGGCAAAG
rnacentral:lncRNA from 1 species